UACGGAGGGUGCAAGCGUUAUCCGGAUUCACUGGGUUUAAAGGGAGCGCAGGCGGAUUGGUAAGUCAGUGGUGAAAGGCUUAAGCUUAACUUGGGAACUGCCAUUGAUACUAUCAGUCUUGAAUGUUGUUGAGGUUUGCGGAAUGGGUCAUGUAGCGGUGAAAUGCAUAGAUAUGACCCGGAACACCUAUUGCGAAGGCAGCAGGCUAAACAAAAUAUUGACGCUGAGGCUCGAAAAGCGUGGGGGAUCAAACAGG
rnacentral:rRNA from 1 species